UGGAAGGGAUUGGGGGCAGGAGGAGAAGGGAACAACAGAGGAUGGCUGGAUGGCAUCACCGACUCGAAGGAUAUGAGUUUGAGUGAUCUCUCCUGGAGUUGGUGAUGGACAGGGAGGCCUGGGAGUUGGUGAUGGACACGGAGGCCUGGCGUGCUGGGUCACAAAGAGUCGGAAACGACUUAGCGACUGAAAUAAACUGAACUGAACUCCAGUGAGAAAUGAGAGCGGGUAGACCCUCUUCCGAGACUUUAACCCAGAAAGUGAUGUCUUUCAGAGAAAUAGAGGUUUAAACAGAUCCCACAAAAGUACACUUACAAGGACUGCAAGAAAAUUUAAGAAGCUAACUUUUUGAACUAACUGAAUCCAAAAAAGACCUACUUUCUACCUUUGGGUACUUCAGUAAGUGUCCCCGAGGGGGUGCACCGUUCCUGGAAGUACUGCAAUACCAGGUCGAUGCGUGGAGUGGACGGAGCAAGCUCCUAUUCCAACUCCCUGCUCCAAAAAUCCAUUUAAUAUAUUGUCCUCGGAUAGAGGACGUAUCAGAUAUUAAACUGAUAAGAACAGAUACUACACUUGAUCUUAGCCAAAAGGCCGAGAAGCGAUAGUGUGGCACCGCCCGUCGCUGUCACCGUCCUGCUGUCGUGCACGUUGCACUCAGUGUGACCGGGUCCCCGCUCACUCCAGGUCUCCCUUCCUUUGCCUCGUUGACAGUGCUAUGGCGGCACUACACCAGACUCUCGGGCAGAAAUUGGAUUCUCCACAUUGUAAAAGAGAAAUCCCGCAUCUGCCAUGGCUUUGUGGUUCUCGGGCGGAAGCGCCGUCUGGAAUCUGCAUGCCCCGCCCUUUGUCGCCAAGAAGGCGUGGCUCCGGCGGGACCGCAGCGCCCUGGGGACGGCCUCGGGGCGGCGGCAGGGGAGCUCCUCCUUGGGGCUAGUGGAGAGGAGAGACCCGACCGGAGGGGGUGCGGGGUGGCCGUCGAGAGGACCCGUGCGACGAGCUGUUGGCCGAGAGUUUUCCUGAAGACAAGGUCGCAAGACUCACUCGCUAGAAACGCCUGGACUGCAGUGUGGUACAGAGGCCUCCGCCUGCGGAGAGAGGGGCUCCGUAGGGUCGGGUGUGUGGAGGGGCUUCGCUGCCAGGCGGAAGGCGGAUGGCCCACAGUGGGGAAGGGAGGGGGCGUGUGGAUGCGGAGGGCGGGGCCGGGCCGCGGGAGGGGUUCACUCCAACUGCAGCGCCCUUGCCCUUCGGUGCUUCUACGAACCAAACCGAUCCUCGGACUCCUACCGAAAGCUCCCUCCGCCUAG
ensembl:lncRNA